GUUGUUGGGUAGGGGAGCGUUCUGUAAGCCUGCGAAGGUGUACUGUGAGGUAUGCUGGAGGUAUCAGAAGUGCGAAUGCUGACAUAAGUAACGAUAAUGCGGGUGAAAAACCCGCACGCCGGAAGACCAAGGGUUCCUGUCCAACGUUAAUCGGGGCAGGGUGAGUCGACCCCUAAGGCGAGGCUGAAAAGCGUAGUCGAUGGGAAACGGGUUAAUAUUCCCGUACUGGUGGUAACUGCGAUGGGGGAACGGAGAAGGCUAGGUUGUCCGGGCGACGGUCGUCCCGGUUCAAGCAUGUAGGCAGAGUGAUUAGGCAAAUCCGGUCACUUAAUGCUGAGGUGUGAUGACGAACCACUAAGGUGGUGAAGCAAUUGAUGCCCUGCUUCCAGGAAAAGCCUCUAAGCUUCAGGUUACCAACAAUCGUACCCCAAACCGACACAGGUGGUCAGGUAGAGAAUACUCAGGCGCUUGAGAGAACUCGGGUGAAGGAACUAGGCAAAAUGGUGCCGUAACUUCGGGAGAAGGCACGCUGGCGGUAAGUGAAGUCCCUCGCGGACGGAGCCGAAGCCAGUCGAAGAUACCAGCUGGCUGCAACUGUUUAUUAAAAACACAGCACUGUGCAAACACGAAAGUGGACGUAUACGGUGUGACGCCUGCCCGGUGCUGGAAGGUUAAUUGAUGGGGUUAUCCUUAGGGAGAAGCUCUUGAUCGAAGCCCCAGUAAACGGCGGCCGUAACUAUAACGGUCCUAAGGUAGCGAAAUUCCUUGUCGGGUAAGUUCCGACCUGCACGAAUGGCGUAAUGAUGGCCAGGCUGUCUCCACCCGAGACUCAGUGAAAUUGAACUCGCUGUGAAGAUGCAGUGUACCCGCGGCAAGACGGAAAGACCCCGUGAACCUUUACUAUAGCUUGACACUGAACAUUGAGCCUUGAUGUGUAGGAUAGGUGGGAGACUAUGAAGUGUGGACGCCAGUCUGCAUGGAGUCAACCUUGAAAUACCACCCUUUAACGUUUGAUGUUCUAACCUAGGCCCAUAAUCUGGGUCGGGGACCGUGUCUGGUGGGUAGUUUGACUGGGGCGGUCUCCUCCUAAAGAGUAACGGAGGAGCACGAAGGUUGGCUAAGCAUGGUCGGACAUCAUGCGGUUAGUGCAAAGGCAUAAGCCAGCUUGACUGUGAGAGUGACGGCUCGAGCAGGUACGAAAGUAGGUCUUAGUGAUCCGGUGGUUCUGAAUGGAAGGGCCAUCGCUCAACGGAUAAAAGGUACUCCGGGGAUAACAGGCUGAUACCGCCCAAGAGUUCAUAUCGACGGCGGUGUUUGGCACCUCGAUGUCGGCUCAUCACAUCCUGGGGCUGAAGUAGGUCCCAAGGGUAUGGCUGUUCGCCAUUUAAAGUGGUACGCGAGCUGGGUUUAGAACGUCGUGAGACAGUUCGGUCCCUAUCUGCCGUGGGCGUUGGAAGAUUGAGAGGGGUUGCUCCUAGUACGAGAGGACCGGAGUGAACGCACCACUGGUGUUCGGGUUGUCAUGCCAAUGGCAUUGCCCGGUAGCUAAGUGCGGAAGAGAUAACCGCUGAAAGCAUCUAAGCGGGAAACUUGCCUCGAGAUGAGUCUUCCCUGUCACCUUGAGUGACCUAAAGGAACGUUUAAGACUAAGACGUUGAUAGGCUGGGUGUGUAAGCGUAGCGAUACGUUGAGCUAACCAGUACUAAUGAACCGUGAGGCUUAACCUGACAACACCGAAGGUGUUU
rnacentral:rRNA from 1 species